rnacentral:sRNA from 1 species
AUUUAGCCCCGAUUGAAGUGGCAUCCUUUUUUAUAGCUUCCAGCCUUUUGAAGGCUGGAAGCUAUAAAAAAGAUAUAGCGUAAAGCGGGUGAAAAU